rnacentral:rRNA from 1 species
UUGAAAGGGAAACGAUUGAAGUCAGUCGUACCGGCGGGUAAUCAGCCUUUUGGGUGUGAUUAUGUGGAGCGUGGGGAGCUAAUCGCCUUCAUCUUUGCAUAUUCGUGCACUUUGGGUGUACUUGCUCGUGUGGUAGGUUAACAUCAAUUUUGAUCAUCAUAAAAUGAUUGAAGGAAUGUAGCUUCGAUCUCGUAUUGAAGUGUUAUAGCCUUUGGUAGAUGUGAUGAUCGGGAUUGAGGAUUGCAACGGAUACCCUUCGGGGCUACCCGUCUGAUCUCUGAAAGUUGCUCUGGUGCUGAAAGCUUGCUUAUGGUAUCAAAGUUGACGUUCAAUAGGUUAGAACGGGAUAAAUUCGUUAAGGAUGUUGACGUA